UGACGGAGCAACGCCGCGUGAGUGAUGAAGGCUUUCGGGUCGUAAAACUCUGUUGUUAGGGAAGAACAAGUACAAGAGUAACUGCUUGUACCUUGACGGUACCUAACCAGAAAGCCACGGCUAACUACGUGCCAGCAGCCGCGGUAAUACGUAGGUGGCAAGCGUUAUCCGGAAUUAUUGGGCGUAAAGCGCGCGCAGGCGGUUUCUUAAGUCUGAUGUGAAAGCCCACGGCUCAACCGUGGAGGGUCAUUGGAAACUGGGGAACUUGAGUGCAGAAGAGAAAAGCGGAAUUCCACGUGUAGCGGUGAAAUGCGUAGAGAUGUGGAGGAACACCAGUGGCGAAGGCGGCUUUUUGGUCUGUAACUGACGCUGAGGCGCGAAAGCGUGGGGAGCAAACAGGAUUAGAUACCCUGGUAGUCCACGCCGUAAACGAUGAGUGCUAAGUGUUAGAGGGUUUCCGCCCUUUAGUGCUGCAGCUAACGCAUUAAGCACUCCGCCUGGGGAGUACGGUCGCAAGACUGAAACUCAAAGGAAUUGAACGG
rnacentral:rRNA from 2 species